UAUAAGCCAAGGGUUUGGGACAGACACCUCAUAGGGGAGGUAGGAGAGGUUGCGGGGGGUAGAAGAGGGCGACGGGUAGCAGCUGUUGAGGCUCAGUGUUUAUGAGGGGAGUUUCGUACAGACACUGUGAGAGAAGAGGCCUAGAAAUGUUUAGCGGAAACGGAAUAUAAGGAUUUGGGUUAUAAAGGAUGAUGCUUUGAGGGAGAGGAGGAGAAAGGGGGCUUUUGCAGGGGAGUUGAAAGCAGUAAUGGUUUGUUCACAAGGAUUACAAAAGCCUUUCUUAGUGGAAGUAGAACGGGUUCUUGAAUGACUGGUGGUAACAGCAGCAAUAUCGAUGAAAGGAUCAUAGAUAUGUGUGCCUCUGGAAGAAGAGGGUGGAAGAGAGGGGUGAAGGUUUUGCAUUUAAGAAGGGAGGCUAGAUGCAUUUCUUUGUGGGAGGAGGAAAAAUGUAGGGUGGAAAUAAUAAUAGUGUAGGUAUAGCUGGUGAUCUCAUGGAGAGAAGUGAUUAAUCAAUUCCUGGAGCAACAAAGUGAAGAGAGCAGCUAUUUAAGCAGCUUGGGUUUAUGUGAAUCGUCAGAGAGUAGAUUAAGAUUCCAGUUGCAUCUGAGCUGAAGUCUCUACAGAGUCUGCUAUUUUUGGUAGCAAUGUGGAGCAGCAACAAAAGAGGAAGCGUGGUGGGAGAGUAAGCAUUCAGAACCUUCAGUUAAUGUAAUGUAUUAAAUGAAGCCAAGGGUAUGUAGUAACAGCAAAAGACUCCCUUAAAGACUACACUCCAACGCCGGGUAAAAAUUGACUUGCAUGAUUUAGGAAAAUAGAUAGGUUUUCAGGAGGCAACUGGGGAAAGGAGUUGCCAAAACAAAGACAAACCAAACCAACUACAUAUAAAGAGUGAAGUACUACUUUUCGAGAGGCACAGGAUUCAGCUAAUUCUAGAUAUGACUAGCGAUAUGAAGGAAAGGAUGAUCUUAGCUGCACCUGGAAGAUGCCUUUGAGGGUGAAAAAAUAAUUCAGUAGCCCAUGUUCACUCAGCCCAAAGAUCCUCUUGAUAGAAGAUUUCUAGUCAAAAUGACUGAAUGGCCUCAGAACAAUGUUGGAAAUGACAAUCUUUCAUACUAGGCAGUAUAGCUUCAUGGAUAAAGGACUGGAUUGGGACUCAGAAGACCUGGAUUCUAUUCCUGGUUCUGCCACAGGCUUAUUGGGAAAGUCAUUUUACCUUUCUGGAUAUCACUUGUAACAUGGAGAUGAUGAUGCUGACCUCCUUUGUAAAGCACUUUGAGAGCUACUGAUCAUAGGAGCUGACUCCAUGGGUGUUCCUGAGCUGGCGCAUCUACGGGGAAAAAAAAAUAGUGGGUGCUUAGCACCCACCGGCAGCCCUUCCACCCUCCGUCCCACUGGCAGCCUCCCCAUCAGCUUCUCCCCCUCCCUCCCAGCACCUUCUGCCCACUGCAGAUCAGCUGUUCAGCGGCGUGCAGGAGGUGCCAGGGGGAGGAGCAAGGGCAGGGCAUGCUCGGGGAGGAGGUGGAGUGGAGGCAGGGUCUGGAGGCAGAGGUCAAGCAUUCCCUGGCAACUUAGAAAGAUGGCCCCUCUGCUACUGCUGAAAAAUGCUACACAAGGAUUGAGUAUUGAUACAUCACUGGUUCAAAUCCAGCUAAGGUAAAUAGUAGUAUUAAAACAGCUGUUUGAAGGCUGUUUGGUGGUCUUUGUGAAACAAGCCACCUAAGUAGCCUAUAAUUAAAUGUUUAUAAUAUAAACAAAAGAAAAAAAAAGACAUUGAAUUAACAAGCAUUUCAGCCAUCAAUGCUCAUGCUCUGCUGGACUACUGUAUCCCUUUCUGCAUAAAGAGAUUUGCAACAGCUGCUAUCACUUACUAUAUUUUAGACAGCACAAACGACAUUCUGAGCACUAUCACAAAUUUAAAAAAAUAUGCAUUUCCAUUUGAAAUCCUUUGUGUUUUGGGGAAAGUUUGUCUCAAAUGACUGCCUUGAUUGUGGUCACUUGUGAGUGCAAGGACACAUGGGGACAGGGCAGAUGUGCCUGACUGAAUGGGAGAGACUAGGGGUUAGCCAGAAUGUGCA